rnacentral:lncRNA from 1 species
CACACACACACACACACACACACACACACACACACACACACCUGCCUGUCUCACCAGAGUGGGCCAUGAGCUCUUAUCAAGUGGCCUCAAGGACCAAGGAGGUUGCCUCAGUUCAUGCCAUCUUCUCAGCAACCUGUCCACGAAGUCUCAUGCAUAGAGGCUGUGGAGGACCUCAGGAGCCUGGCGAUCUAGCCAACAGUCACACCUGUCAGACGAGUCAAAACCAGAACCCAAAUAAAUCUGCUGGUCUCCAAAGGCUGCCAUCAUUACCAAACCCAACGAUACUGACGUCACCGAAACCUGUACAGAGGCCACAGUGCUGUUCUUCUGGAAGCUGAGACACAUGGAUUUCCUGAAGAGUUACCAGAGGGAGAACAGGGUAAAACCAAAGCCAGAAACAUCAACUCACUUGCCCAAGAGCACUUGCAUAGGAAAAGAAGCCAAAGUCUUAAAGUUGGCAACCUGGAGAUCAAGACGGCUCUUGGACAGAUGUCCAGGGCUGACUGCCCAGAGAUGGCAUCUCCACAGUGGACGGGCCCUUCCACAUCAAUCAUUAAUCAAGAAAACGCCUACAGACUUCCAUCUACACGCCAAUCUUAUGGAAAAAUAUUCUCAAGU